rnacentral:rRNA from 1 species
GUGCCAGCAGCCGCGGUAAGACGAACCGUACGAACGUUAUUCGGAAUUACUGGGCUUAAAGGGUGCGUAGGCGGCCCGGAAAGUUGGGUGUGAAAUACCUCGGCUCAACCGAGGAACAGCGCUCAAAACUACCGGGCUUGAGGAAGAUAGAGGUGAGCGGAACUUAGGGUGGAGCGGUGAAAUGCGUUGAUAUCCUAAGGAACACCGGUAGCGAAAGCGGCUCACUGGGUCUUCUCUGACGCUGAGGCACGAAAGCUAGGGGAGCGAAGAGGAUUAGAAACCCCCGUAGUCC